rnacentral:lncRNA from 1 species
AGCCAUUUGUAAUUAAAAACAGCAAACACACAAAACAGCAAACAAGUUAAAAAUUAGCAAAAACAGUGAGCUGUAAUGAAACUGCCGAAGUGAACUUAAGGCUGAAAAAGAUAUCACUCUCAAAGAAAUAAUGUUCUUGCUCCAAUCUGAUCUUGAGGCCUUGGAAUCCUCAAAUGAAAUAUGUCAAAGCAAGCACACCAAUCUUAAGAGCAAACCACCACAAAACCAAAGAAACAAUAAAGACAAACAAG